rnacentral:rRNA from 1 species
UACGUAGGGAGCAAGCGUUGUCCGGAAUCAUUGGGCGUAAAGCGCGCGUAGGCGGCCCGAUAAGUCCGCUGUGAAAGUCAACGGCUCAACUGUUGGAUGCCGGUGGAUACUGUCGGGCUAGAGUACGGAAGAGGCAAGUGGAAUUCCUGGUGUAGCGGUGGAAUGCGCAGAUAUCGGGAGGAACACCUGUGGCGAAAGCGGCUCACUGGACCACAACUGACGCUGAGGCGCGAAAGCUAGGGGAGCAACAGG